UAUAAGCAAUAACCUCUAAAUCGGCCCAGGAAAAGAAUUUCCAGGGCCCUUUGAGCCAUCAGUACCGUUUAUCCUGGAGCCAAAGUACAGACCAUGGCUUUCACGACAGCUUCCCUCAAGUUCUGCUUGUGGCUUUUUAUCCCCCAAGAUUUCAGUGUUUUCCAUGGGGGCCCAGAUACGAGAUUCAGACUUUCCUGAUCCAGGAGGUUGACUACGGGCGGUCCCGGUCCUCUGCCCACCUGCACUGGGGAGGUGGGGUAGGGUUGGCUCCAAGCGGAGGACAGGCCGAGGGCGUGUCCUAGAGCCGGACCCUGAGCCCGGCCAGCCAGGCGGGAGCUCACGUUUCCAGAAAGAAGCACCCACGUACACAGAGCGCUUCUCAAACUUGCACCUCACGGCAUCUCCCUGCCAGUCACCACCCCGGACUGGGGUGGGAGUGGGGGUCUCCCUUACUCCCGCUAAAUUUAUUCACAGUCACAUAUUAUUUUAAGAACGACUGUAAAUGUUACAUCUACCUGUAUAGCCUAUCCUUAGUAAUUUCCUAAUAAAAAUAAAAGUUCAAAUUUCCCCACCUCCAUGCCUGCGGCUCCUUUCCCAGCUAUAGCGCCACGCUAGCGCCUCCCUCGCUAUCCCCGGCUAACCCGUGGGCCUCCUAUUGAGACGCCCGAAAGGGAAGAACCCAAAGGGUGGUUCAGCCCGGGGGGCGGGGCCAGAGGCGGGUCCUCCGGCACCCUCCCCGCCCCCAUCUUCGGCACCGCCCCCGCGUUUCGCCACCUAGCUGGAGUGAAGCGCCUUGCGUCCCCGGGGAGGACGAGCCCCAGGCUCCUGGGUGGCCCUGGCCCAGUCCCCAGCCAGCGGGAGAGGGGAAGGCUCCCGCGGGCGGGCGUCGGGGAUCCUGGCGCUCCCUUGUGGACUGACCCCGAACACGAAAAGAUUCAACUACGUCAAAAGAAGAAUAUGUCAUUUCAUAGUUUUCCAAAGGAAGUACAGCUCCAACUCUGCCAGACCACAAUCUAUCGAGAAUUGCUGUGGCUAGGACGUCCAGUACUAUAUUGAAUAAAAGUGGAGAGUGGACAUUCUUGUCUUUUUCCUGAUUUUAGGGGAAAAGCUCUCAGGUUUUCACCACUGAAUAUGAUGUUAGCUGUAGGUUUUUCAUACAUGGCUUUUAUUAUAUUUAGUUAUGGUCCCUCUAAACCUACUUUAUUGUGGGUUUUUUAUGACGAAUGGAUGUUGUACUUUGCCAAAUGCUUUUUCUGCAUGUACUGAAAUGAUCAUAUGGUUUUUAUCCUUUCUCUUACUGAUGUGAUGUAUCACGUGGAUUGAUUUGUGAGUAUUGAACCACGUUUGCAUCCUGGGAAUAAAUCCCACUUGAUCAUAGUGAAUGAUUUUUCAUAUACAUAUUGUUGGAUUUGGCUUGCUAAUAUUUCAUUGAAGAUUUUUGCAUCUAUGUUCAUCAGAGAUAGUGUCCUGUAGUUACCUUUUUUGAUGGUAUCUUUAUUUGGUUUUGGUAUCAGGGUAAAUGCUGGCACCAAAGAAUGAAUUUGGAAGCUUUCCUUCCUCUUGUGUUUUUUGGAAUAGUUUGAGAAGAAUAGGUAUUAACUCUUCUUUAAAUGUUUUGUAGAUUAAAAAAAUAAUAAACGUUUUGUAGAAUUCCCAUGUGAAGCCAUUUGGUCCUUGACCUUGUUUGUUGGGAGUUUUUUGAUUACUGAUUCCAUUUCUUUGCUGGUAAUUGGUCUGUUCAGAUUUUCUAUUUCUUCAUGAUUCAGUUUUGGGAGGUUAUAAGUUUCUAGGUAUUUAUCCAUUACUUCUAGAUUAUUCAAUUUGCUGGCAUAUAAUUUUUCAUAAUACUGUUUUAUAAUCCUUUGUAUUUCUGUGGUGUCAGUUGUAUUUCUCCUCUUUCAUUUCUGAUUUUGCUUAUUUGAAUACUGCCUCUUUUUUUUUCCUGAUGAAUCUGGCUAAAGGUUUGUCAAUUUUGCUGAUCUCUUCAAAGAACCAGCUCCUGGUUUCAUUGAUCUGUUCUUUGUUUUUUUUUUUUUAGUUUCUUUUUUUAAGUUUUAUUCAAAUUCCAUUAGUUAACAUCAAGUAUAAUAUUAGUUUCAGGUGUACAAUUUAGUGAUUCAACAUUUCCAUACAGCAUCUGGUGUUCAUCACAACACGUGCAUACCUUAAUGCCCAACACCUAUUUAACCCAUUGCCCUACACACAUUGCCUCUGGUAACUCUCAGGUUGUUCUCUAUAGUUAAGAGUCUGUUUCUUGGUUUGUUUCUCUCUCUCCCUUUUUUCCCCUGUGCUUAUUUGUUUUCUGUCUUAAAUUCCAUGUAUAAGUGAAAUCAUAUGGCAUUUGUCUUUUUUUGACUGUCUUAUUUUGUUUAGCAUAAUACUCUCUAGCUCUAUUCACAUCAUUACAAAUGCUAAGAUUUCAUUCUUUUUUAGGACUAAGUAAUAUUCUGUUAUAUAUAUGUGUGUGUGUGUGUGUGUGUGUGUAAUAUAAUAUAUAUUCUGUUAUAUUGAAUAUAUAUAUCACAUCUUCUUUAUCCAUUCAUCAAUUAAUGGAUGCUUGGGCUGUUUCCAUAGUUUGGCUAUUAUAGAUAAUGCUGCUAUAAACAUUGGGGUGCAUGUAUUCCUUCAAAUUUAUUUUUGUAUUCUUUGAGUAAAUACCUAGUAGUGCAAUUGCUGGGCUGUAGGCUAGUUCUAUUUUUAACUUUUUGCAGAAUCUCUGUACUGUCUUCCAGAGUGGCUGUAUUAGUUUGCAUUCCUACCAACAGUCUUCACAUCCCCACCAACACUGGUUGUUUCUUGUGUUAUUAAUUUUAGCCAUUCUGAUAUGUGUGACGUGAUACCUCAUUAUGUUUUUUUUAAAUAUUUAUUUAUUUAUUUUGAGAGAAAAAGAGAGAGUGGGGAAGAGGCAGAGCGAGAGGAAGAGAGAGAAUCCCAAGCAGGCUCCAUGCUGUCAGCACAGAGCCUGACAUGGGGUUUGAUCCCAAGAACCAUAAGAUCAUGACCUGAGCUGAAAUCAAGAGUCAGACACUUAACCAACUGAGCCAUCCAGGUGCCCUGUCUCAUUGUAGUUUUGAUUUGUAUUUCCCUGAUGAUGGGUGAAGGUGAGCAUCUUUUCAUGUGUCUGUUAGCCAGCUGUAUGUCUUCUUUGGAAAAGUGUCUAUUCAUUGGAACAAAAGUGUUGACAAGCCCUCUAGAAAGAUACUAUAAAUUACCAGGUCUACAAAAGCAUAGCAAACUCUGAUUCAGUAUUUUCCUAAAUGUCAAAAAUUCCUAGGGAUCAUCAAGGGUACUUGUUAAAAAUACAUUUCCAGGCCCAACCCCAGAUGUCCUGAACCAGAGCUUCCAGGAGAAUGGCUUGGAAUUCUACAUUUUUAAUGAGUGCAUCUGAUGACUCUUUAUGACUAAGUAAUUUUGGAAAAGGUUGCUUUAGUGCAACCCAGUCUGGAGCCAGAAUUCAAAUUCUCUUACCCAAGAGGUGAGACAAGGUUGGGAAGCAGGGCUUUAAGAUUCAGGGGGCGCUAUAUAAAAAGUAUAUCAGGAAGGGAUCCUGGAAGCAAGAUACAGCCUUGAGAAAUAAGACUGCCAUGUUCUAGAUAUGGGAAUUAGGGCUCCAGUGAACCACACCAUUAAAGGCAAGACUAGUGCUUGUGAAAUCUUGAGAGACAAGCACCCUGGUCAGAUAAAUGUGGUCAUGGCUAAAACGCCUAACCUCUUAAUGCAAAUGAAAGAUUCAGGCUCCUGUGGUAUGCCUGUCUGACAGCCUGUGGAAGUUGUGGGUAUGGCCAUACCCUUGUGGAUAAGCAGCAGAUGAUGUCUCUCUUGAGAAGGAUCUUGUACUGCAUGGUAGCCACUGGGGCAAAUGGAUGGUCCUCAGGAAACUAAAAUUCACCAAGGAGUCUGCACAGGCAGUGAAGUCACUGCAGUUUUUCCUCAAGGCUUUAUUCUUUGGGUCUACAUGUAAAAGGGUCUGGUGAAGCUUCUGGUGAAGGUCCUUGAAGCUUCACCCUCUGGAGUUCAUCAGGGUCAUGGUGGCUAUAAGCAUGUGCCAGAUCUCUGUAAGGUGUAGGCAGAUCUCAGAGGACUUUGAAUAGUGCUAUGAAGCCUAGGAGAUCCUUCUCAUAAGACGGAUUUAGUUUUCUUCAGCCUCAGAGGAUAUCCUGAAAAUGCACAUUACUCUCAGGUGAGGUUUGAGUGGUCAGGUGGAGGUAAACAUGAGAUGUAAGGAGAUGAUUAAUGGUUUCUAUUGGACCAAGAGUAGAAACUUUUAGAUUGGUAAGUAGUACAUUUUGACUUUUAUCAUUUUUAUAGACUGAAUGUUUGUGUCUCUCCCCUCUCCUCAAAUUCAUAUGUUGAAACCUAAUCCCUGAUGUGAUGGUGUGUAGAGGCCUUUGGGAAGUGAUUAAGUCAUGAGGGUAGAGCCGUCAUGGAUAGAAUUGGCACCCCUAUAAGGUGCUCAAGAGAUCAGAGUUCCCCAUUCCACGCAGCAAAAACAUGGCCUAUGUGAACAAGGUAGUGAGUCCUCACCAAACACUGAAUCUAUUGGCACCUCGACCUUAGACUUUCCAGUCUCCAGAACUGUGAGAAAUAAUUUGUGCUGUUUAUAAGGCACCCAGUCUAUGAUAUUCUGUUAUAGCAGCCUGAAUAGACUAAGAAAAAUCCUAAGAUAAAUAAUAGAAAUUACACCCUCUUUUUAAAAAUUCAAAUAAUUGGGACACCUGGGUGGCUCAGUCUGUUGUGUCUGACUUCAGCUCAGGUCACGAUCUCACAGUUUGUGAGCUUAAGCCCUGCGUCAGGCUCUGUGCUGACAGCUCAGAGCCUGGAGCCUGCUUUGGAUUCUGUGUGUGUGUCUCUCUCUCUCAAAAAUAAAUUAAUAAGUAAACAUUUUUUUUAUUAAAAAAAAAGGAAAUUCAAAUAAUAGGGGUGCCUGGGUGGCUCAGUCAGCUAAGUGUAAGUAAACAAUUUUUAUUAAAAAAAAAAAGGAAAUUCAAAUAAUAGGGGUGCCUGGGUGGCUCAGUCAGCUAAGUGUCCAACUCUUGGUAUUGGCUCAGGUCAUGAUCUCACUGUUUGUGAGAUCAAGCCCCACCAUGGGCUCUGUACUGAUAGCACAGAGCCUGCUUGGGAUUCUCUCUCCUUCUCUGGCCCUCUCCCACCCUCUCUCAAAAUAAAUAAAUAAACUUUAAAAUUUUUCAAAUAAUAGCCUGACGUAUCUUUCUAAAUUGUGAUAAAUUUGUUUGCCUCUCUCAACAGGAAUCUCUCAUUAUCCUCUUCUUGGCCAAAAGACAAGAUAGAAUUUCUGGUUCACUGUUUCUUAUGCUGAUACUGCAGGGCUGGAAAAACCACCAUCUCUGACAACUUGAAUUCUCAUUUCCUUGUAUUCAUCACAUUUACCUGCUGAAUCAGAAUCUGGUGGAAGGAGAGGGUGCCCAGAGAUGUGCAAGUUUCACAAAUUCUCCAGGUGAUUCUUAUUCACACUCAGCUCCUGUGUUUCUGUUUCUCUGAAUUUGACUUCUCUAUAUACCUCAUGUUCUGAAGUCUCUCAAACUGAAUAGAACAGAAUAGGGAAUAGAAC